AUGAAUUAAAGAUCUUGACAUUUUUGUGAAUUGUAGGUCUGAUUUAAUUCAACUUUUUUAAUGGAUUAAUUUUUGUGGGUACUGAUGAGUUAGAGAUGUGGAGUUGUAAUUGGUAAACAAAAGAUGUCCAUAGGUUGCUGCUAUGUUGCCAAUGUGAAGUUUUAGAAUUGUCCUUGAGUUGAGGAGGCAAUGGUGCUGGAGUGGGCAAGAGAUGAACAGUGAAUGAAGGUACAGAAAAUUUAGGGAUUUUUUUAAUUUUAGGAAAAAAUAAUCCCAUUCCACAAUGACUACCAAACAUCAAAUUUCACCAAAAGGAAUCAACACAAACUCAUUAUCAUUGAAGGGGUCUUUCAUAGUGAUUAUCAUUUCUAUUCCUUAG
rnacentral:lncRNA from 1 species